AUACGGGGGGUGCAAGCGUUAAUCGGAAUUACUGGGCGUAAAGCGCGCGUAGGCGGACUGAUCAGUUGGGGGUGAAAUCCCAGGGCUUAACCCUGGAACUGCCUCCAAUACUGUCAGUCUUGAGUUCGGGAGAGGUGAGUGGAAUUCCUAGUGUAGAGGUGAAAUUCGUAGAUAUUAGGAAGAACACCAGUGGCGAAGGCGGCUCACUGGCCCGAUACUGACGCUGAGGCGCGAAAGCGUGGGGAGCAAACAGGAUUAGAUACCCUAGUAGUCC
rnacentral:rRNA from 1 species